rnacentral:lncRNA from 1 species
UAAUAUGCUACAUGUUUUGCAUGAUUGAGUUGACCUUUAUCCGCUGCGUAUUAUGCAACUGUUUUAUUUGAUAAAUAAAUGAGCAUGACAAACUACUUUGGUGAAUGGUGCGAAUAAUUGUGUGACACCCUUGAAGGGCAUAAUUACUUUGAUUGUUAUAUGUUUAUUAUUUUAAUUAAAUUUUGGGGUAUUUUAGAAGGGUGUUACACAUAUUGUUUUAGAGCCAACAAG